rnacentral:rRNA from 1 species
UACGUAGGGUGCAAGCGUUAAUCGGAAUUACUGGGCGUAAAGCGUGCGCAGGCGGUUUUGUAAGUCUGACGUGAAAUCCCCGGGCUCAACCUGGGAAUUGCGUUGGAGACUGCAAGGCUAGAAUCUGGCAGAGGGGGGUAGAAUUCCACGUGUAGCAGUGAAAUGCGUAGAGAUGUGGAGGAACACCGAUGGCGAAGGCAGCCCCCCUGGGUCAAGAUUGACGCUCAUGCACGAAAAGCGUGGGGGAGCCAAACG